UCCGUAGGUGAACCUGCGGAAGGAUCAUUACCGAGUUGAUUCGAGCUCCGGCUCGACUCUCCCACCCUUUGUGUACCUACCUCUGUUGCUUUGGCGGGCCCGCGGUUCGGCCUCGUGCCGUCCAGCACCCGCCAGAGGACCACAAAACUCCAGUCAGUGAACGUCUCAGUCUGAAAAACAAGUUAAUAAACUAAAACUUUCAACAACGGAUCUCUUGGUUCUGGCAUCGAUGAAGAACGCAGCGAAAUGCGAUAAGUAAUGUGAAUUGCAGAAUUCAGUGAAUCAUCGAAUCUUUGAACGCACAUUGCGCCCCUUGGUAUUCCGGGGGGCAUGCCUGUUCGAGCGUCAUUUCAACCCUCAAGCUCUGCUUGGUAUUGGGCUCCGUCCUCUGGGACGCGCCUCAAAGACCUCGGCGGUGGCGUCUUGCCUCAAGCGUAGUAGAAAACACCUCGCUUUGGAGCGCACGGCGUCGCCCGCCGGACGAACCUUUGAAUUUUUCUCAAGGUUGACCUCGGAUCAGGUAGGGAUACCCGCUGAACUUAAGCAUAUCAAUAAGCGGAGGA
rnacentral:rRNA from 1 species